AUGUCACCAAGGAACGCGGCCUUAAAGACACGGGACCUGACCGCGAGUAUGUACUUGUGCGCAGCAAAGGACUCACCGGACACGAGAAAUGUGACGUCCGCUCCCAUCUGGCUCUGCAGGAGUUCAGCGAAGUGCUGGUGCAGGUUAGAGGUUGGCAAUGGCACAUGCACUUCUGGUUCUGGUAUAUCUGGCAGCUCCUUGAGAACUUCAAGGGUGCAUUGCACAAUGAAAGAAUCAUCCUUGAGAUAA
rnacentral:rRNA from 1 species